UGCCUUGAAGGAAAUGGAAAGCAAAAAUAUCUGGACAAAAUUCAUAAAGCAACUGACAGGAAGUCUCAGAAAGUUGGAGAAAAAGUAGACUGGCGAGGGACAUCAAAACUCACCUCCCAAGAGUCUUCAGCCAAAAGACUUGGAAAGGGCACUCUAGAAUGACAAACAUUUUGACCACACUGGACCUUACUCUGGCUUAACACCAUAAAAAAGUACUGCCCCUCCUCACUGGGCAUCAUGGCCUCGAGAGUGGCAGAUCUCUGCUGUCCCUCAGUUCUUGAAAUAACAGGCCUGUUCCCUUCCCUGGAACAGAGACCGGGGAUUUCUCAACACCGUGGAGUCUAGAAUGAAGUGGAACAUUUUUCAGUGCUAAAAGAAGAAAACAGUCAACUCAAAAUUAUAGAUAUCCAGCAAAAAUA